rnacentral:rRNA from 1 species
ACGCACGCUGGCGGCGUGCUUAACACAUGCAAGUCGAACGGUAAGGCCCUGCUUUUGUGGGGUGCUCGAGUGGCGAACGGGUGAGUAACACGUGAGUAACCUGCCCUUGACUUUGGGAUAACUUCAGGAAACUGGGGCUAAUACCGGAUAGGAGCUCCUGCUGCAUGGUGGGGGUUGGAAAGUUUCGGCGGUUGGGGAUGGACUCGCGGCUUAUCAGCUUGUUGGAGGGGUAGUGGCUUACCAAGGCUUUGACGGGUAGCCGGCCUGAGAGGGUGACCGGCCACAUUGGGACUGAGAUACGGCCCAGACUCCUACGGGAGGCAGCAGUGGGGAAUAUUGCACAAUGGGCGGAAGCCUGAUGCAGCAACGCCGCGUGCGGGAUGACGGCCUUCGGGUUGUAAACCGCUUUCGCCUGUGACGAAGCGUGAGUGACGGUAAUGGGUAAAGAAGCACCGGCUAACUACGUG